CUGAGCUCGGAAGGGUGGGCUUUGGAGAGCAGCCGGUAGCCAUUUCACUGUCGCCAAGACUCCUCGGCUUCCUCCUUAGAGCGAAUCCCCGCCCAGCCGGGCCCGGGAUCGCCAUGGAGUCCGCGAUGGGCGCGGGCAUCGUGAUGGCUGAGGCGCUGCAGAACCAGCUGCCCUGGCUGGAGAACGUGUGGCUCUGGGUCACCUUUCUGGGCGAUCCCAAGAUCCUUUUUCUGUUCUACUUCCCCGCGGCCUACUAUGCUUCUCGCCGUGUGGGCAUCGCGGUGCUCUGGAUCAGCCUCAUCACCGAGUGGCUCAACCUCGUCUUCAAGUGGUUUCUGUUUGGAGACAGGCCCUUUUGGUGGGUCCAUGAGUCUGGGUACUACAGCCAGACUCCUGCCCGGGUUCACCAGUUCCCCUCUUCUUGUGAAACUGGUCCAGGCAGCCCUUCUGGACACUGCAUGGUCACAGGAGCAGCUUUCUGGCCAAUAAUGACAGCCGUCUCUUCUCAAGUAGCUGCUCGGACCCGCAGCCGCUGGGUAAGGGUGAUUCCUAGCCUGGCUUAUUGCACCUUCCUAUUGGCAGUUGGCCUGUCCCGGGUCUUCCUCUUAGCACAUUUCCCUCACCAAGUGUUGGCUGGCCUAAUAACUGGUGCUGUCCUGGGCUGGCUGAUGACUCCGCGGGUCCCUAUGGAGCGGGAAUUAAGUUUCUAUGGGUUGACUGCACUGGCCCUCAUGCUGGGUGCUAGUCUCAUCUAUUGGACUCUCUUUUCACUGGGCCUAGAUCUUUCUUGGCUGGACAGCAUUCCCUGGAAGCCUAUGGGCCCCCAACCCCUUGAAACGGGGGGCUCCAGAGGACCCUGGAAAAGAGGAAGGGGAGUGCCCAGCACCCUCCUGGUCUCAGCUCCCUUGAGACAGUGGCCAACUGAGGGUGCUCAGGGAGGAAGAGAAGCUCCUGCUGAGGGCAAACUCAGAUUCCUGGGUUAUGGUCCUGCCACUUCUAGAAAUAUCCAGUUACCAACCCUAGGCUUCAAAGCAAAAGGCCCCAGGAGGAAGGCUUACAUCUGGCGGUAACAGAAUAGCCACCAAGUGGAGACAGAUGUCCUUCAACAGCAUCAAACCCAGCGGAGACUAGGACCACAUCAGGUCCUCCAUACGGGUAAACUGCAACUACUUUCUCCAAUUGCAAUACGACCUUCCUGAUCAUGGACCCCAUGGGCCAGUAACUCAUAUCCUUCAAGCAGAACUUCUACCAUGUCAACAAGUACUUAAGGGCUGAUUGUCUAAAACUGUCUAAUACCAUAGCUACUGGCUAUAUGUGACUACUGAGCCCUUGAAACAUAGUUUGUCUACAUUGACAUGUGCUAGAAGGGUGAAUUACACACUGGAUUCCAAAGACGUAAUAUGAAACAAAAAGUAAAAUUCCUCAUUGAUAAGUCUAUGUUUAUUAAUUGUUGAAAUAAUAUUCUAGAUAUGUUAAACAUAUAGUAUGAAAUUAA